GACGGAGGAUGCAAGUGUUAUCCGGAAUUACUGGGCGUAAAGCGUCUGCAGGUGGUUUCUUAAGUCCACUGUUAAACCUUGAGGCUCAACCUCAAAUCAGCAUUGGAAACUGGGAAACUUGAGUAUAGUAGGGGUAGAGGGAAUUUCCAGUGGAGCGGUGAAAUGCGUAGAUAUUGGAAAGAACACCGAUGGCGAAGGCACUCUACUGGGCUAUUACUGACACUCAGAGACGAAAGCUAGGGGAGCAAAUGGG
rnacentral:rRNA from 1 species